GCCGCCGAUGGUGUAGGGGUUAAGCACGCAGAGGCUACAGUCCUCGAAGUGGCUGUCCCGGGUUCGAGUCCCGGACCCGGCGACA